CAUCCCGUUUCUGUGGCAAAGGAGAUGCUGCCCCUGUGGACCUCCAGAUUGCUCUGGCCACCAACUUAUCUAGUGUUAAAGGGUUGCAAGCGAACCUUUCAGAAAUGAUAUUUAGAUUCUAGAACGGACCGAGGAACCAAGUGAACUUGAUGACUACUAUGUGAUUCCCGAGCCAGGGUUUGAGUAGCUACUGUUCUACCAAGUGAGGAUGAUGUUACGGUCGAUGAUGGCAAGAUCAGCGCCUUGGCAUACGACACCGCGUCGGUCGCUCUUGUUCAAGAUCCCAGCCAUAGCAGCAGUUGGAGCAUGUUAGCCAAUUAAGGCAGCGUGAGCAUGAGGAGAGCGAGCAGGAGAAGGAGAAGGAGGCAGGGCACCUACGGUCGGCUCCUUCUCCAGAACCACGCGGCGGGAAAGGAGGUUAGAGGACUUUUUCUUCUUGGGACGCCGCAUCCAUGGAGCUCCGACCCCAUUGCCACUGCCAUACAUGGAGCUCUGGCCCAUGGCCAACAGCUCAAGUGUUUUCCUCGCACACGUUGGUGCGACACAGAGCCACCGUGGGGAUUCCUUCCACUACGAUGUCUCCUGGUUUCUCCUCCGGUGCCCCCGUUCUUCUUCCACUUCAGCAAGUGGUGCACGACAGAGCCAGUUGUGUUUGGUGUGCGCAGGUUGGAUUCUUCUUCCACUCCGGAAAUCUGGGUUUUAGAGGAUUUAACCCUCAAGUCUAAAUUGGCUCUGAUUUUGUCUAUCGGUGAUUCCUACUAGGGUUCUUUCAGCAGCCAAGGAGUGUUAUUGACAGAGAAUCAAUUGCGACGCAAAUUUAGUAAUGUGCCUGGUGGCUUUGCCCAGGUCUAUCCUGUUUCCAUGGCAAAGGAGAUGAUGCCCUUUGUGGAAACCGCUGACGCACGUGUUGCUCUCCAGAGAUUGCGAAGGCGACCAGUGGUUCUAGUGCUAAAGGGUUGCAACCAAACCUUUCAGAAAUGAUAUAUAGAUUCUAGAACGGACCGAGGAACCAUGUGAACUCGACCACUACUGUGUGAUUCCCGAGACAGAGUUCGAGCAGCUACUGGUCGACCAAGUGAGGAUGAUGUUGCGGUCGAUGAUGGCAGGAUCAGCGUCUUGGGAUACGACACCACGUCGGUCGCUCUUGUUCCACGUCUUGAUGACGGUGACAGCCUCAAGUUUCCCACCACGCUCUGGUCGAUUCUCGAUAACAAGCUCCCAGACGGCUCCUGGGGAGACGCUGCCCUGUUCCCCGCCUAUGACCGGGUCACCAACACCCUUACCUGUGUCGUGGCUCUCAUAAAGUGGUCUCUUGGCCAUGGUAAAUGCAGGAGAGGAUUGCAAAUGUAGCUUGUCUCCGACGAUGGGGCCGAGAACUGCAGGCUACGUACCCUAUGCAUCGCUGCUUUGACUGACCUAUCUCCCUGCGUCGGCAACCGCUUCUCUGAUGGAUGGGUUCAUCACAGGGACUCGUCAUGGCGCGCUUCAUCAACACCAAGGGGAGACCCCUUCAUCUUCAUGGCCGGCCCUCAAGCAAAGCAAAGGGAGGGGAUCGAAAUCGUCCAUGGACGGACGCGCUGAUGGGGACCUGAUGGAGACAGAGAAGGACCACGAGGAGGUGGCGUGGGUCGACCCUGGCGGUUGGCUCCUCCUCCAGAACCACGUGGUAGGAGAGGAGGCACAAGGACUGCUUCUUCUCAGGAUGCCGCAUCCAGGGAGCUCCGACCCUACCGCCGCUGUCAUCCAUGGAGCUCUGACCCAUGGCCAAGAACUCAAGGUAGGUUCAGACAUAGAGCCACUGUGGGGAUUCCUUCCAGUCCGACGCCACUUGGCUUCUGCUCCGGUGCCCCCGUUCUUCUUCCAAUCCAGCAAGAUGGUGCACAACAGAGCCGACUGUGUGUGGAGUGCGCGGGAAGAUUCUUCUUCCACUCCGGCAGUCUGGUGUUAGCAGUUAUGUACUUGAUAGAAGACACAUCUUUUCUACAUGGUAAAUUUCGGGAUGCAAACCUAGUAAUGUGCCUGAUCCCAGCUUGAGCAGCAGUUGGAGUUAGCCAAGCGAGGCUGCGUGAGCACUAGGAGAGGGAGGGGAGAAGGAGAACUUAGGUUGCAUGGCACCAAUGGUCGGCUCCUUAUCCAGAAUCACGCGUCGGGAAAGGAGGUUCGAGGACUGCUUCUUCUUGGGACGCCACAUCCAUCGAGCUCUUACCCCAUCACCGCUGCCAUCCAUGGAGCUCUGACCUAUGGCCAACAAUUCGUCAUGGUGCACGAAAGACCCAGCGUGUGGUGUGCAUGUGGAAUUCUUCUUCACACUCAAACACAGGUUAUGAUAUCCAUGCUGGAGGAGUAGGAGGGCAACGGGCAAGUAAUAAUAGGAACCACCAUGAGCCUCACUAUGCGCUAUCCUGGUGAAACUGUUGGGUGCAACGGUGAUGGGCAAGACGAGCAUGUAGAAAGAGACCACAACAGCAGCAGGAUAAGACAUAGUUGUUGAAGACUUGAAAUACACAUGAAUGUACAUGUUUCGAUCUGAUCUCCCCUUAAUCUGGAUUGCCUUCUCUUCACAUGUAUGGUUGGUAUGUUUAGUGAAGCUUCUCAAUAGGAGCUGGAGUCAGUUUUCUAGUGAUGGACUAGGAUUGAAGCUACUCGACGAGGCACAAACAUGCUACUAUCUUGCUAGGCUGUGGUCUUCAGUUCAUGUCGUGGCUGGGUUGUUGCCAGUUACUUCAACUAAGCCUGUUCGGACUCUCUCCGCUCUCCAACUCCACGCCGGAGCGGAGCAACAUCUAGUUCUAAUUUGGGGAGUGGCUGAAAAGGGAGUGGCUCUCUGACGUUGCUCCUCGAGGAUGAUGCACUUGAAACCCUCUUUGAUGCCCGAGUUUGGUGCCAUGGAGAUCGACGAUGAAGAUGUCAUUGCCCACAAAAGUGUCAAGGCAUUGAAGACAGAAGACAUGUCCCCUGAGAGCCGAGAUGUGGAAAGCAUUAGGUAAAGUGGCAAGAGGAGCCGGAUGUGCAGCUUGUGCUUUUCUUUGUUGGCUGGUGGUUGCUGCUGAAGUGCAGAUUGAUGAUGCCUGGUGAUAUUGAAGUCCUAGUACAUAGAUAUGCCCUAUGAUAAUUGUUUUCUUGUUGGUGGCUUACUUGUCGGCUGGUAGGUAUUGAGUCGAUGAAGUACCUUGUCGAAUUCUCAGCUCUUGUUGAUGUUCUCUUUUCUCGAUGGAGAGAGAGAGUGAUAUAUGAAGUGUAAAUUUCUGCAUAUUUUUUUCCACGAGUCUCUCCGAAAUGAAACCGGGAAUUGUGUGCCAUGCCAAUC